rnacentral:misc_RNA from 1 species
GAUGAAGAACGCAGCGAAAUGCGAUAAGUAAUGUGAAUUGCAGAAUUCAGUGAACCAUCGAAUCUUUGAACGCACAUUGCGCCCGCCAGUAUUCUGGCGGGCAUGCCUGUUCGAGCGUCAUUUCAACCAUCAAGCCCCCGGCUUGUGUUGGGGACCUGCGGCUGCCGCAGGCCCUGAAAAGCAGUGGCGGGCUCGCUGUCACACCGAGCGUAGUAGCAUACAUCUCGCUCUGGGCGUGCUGCGGGUUCCGGCCGUUAAACCACCUUCAUAACCCAAGGUUGACCUCGGAUCAGGUAGGAAGACCCGCUGAACUUAAGCAUAUCAAUAAGCGGAGGA